CGUGGUUAACCUGCCCUUGGGACGGAAACACCCCCGGGAAACUGGGGCUAAUUUCCGAUAGGUGAAGGCUCCUGGAAUGGAUCUUCGCCUAAAGGGCGCUUAGGCCAUGCUUCUAAGCGCUGCCCAAGGAUGGGACCGCGGCCGAUCAGGUUGUUGGUGAGGUAAUGGCUCACCAAGCCUUUAACCGGUUCGGGCCGUGGGAGCGGGAGCCCGGAGAUGGGCACUGAGACAAGGGCCCGGGUCCUACGGGGCGCAGCAGUCGCGAAAACUCCGCAAUACGCGAAGGCGUGACGGGGCUAUCCCGAGUGCCGUCCGCUGAGGAUGGCUUUUCUCCAGUGUAGAUAGCUGGGGGAAUAAGGAGAGGGCAAGUCUGGUGUCAGCCGCCGCGGUAAUACCAGCUCUCCGGGUGGUGGGGACGUUUAUUGGGCCUAAAGCAUCCGUAGCCAGCUGAGCAAGUCCCCAGUUAAAUCCAGCGAUUUAAUCGUUGGACUGCUGGGGAUACUGUCCGGCUAGGGGGUGGGAGAGGCCGAUGGUAUUCUCGGGGUAGGGGUGAAAUCCUAUAAUCCCGGGAGGACCACCAGUGGCGAAGGCUGUUGGCUAAAACAUGCCCGACGGUGAGGGAUGAAAGCUGGGGGAGCGAACCGGAUUAGAUACCCGGGUAGUCCCAGCUGU
rnacentral:rRNA from 1 species